AGUGAACGCUGGCGGUAGGCCUAACACAUGCAAGUCGAACGGCAGCACCGUAAGAGCUUGCUCUUACGGGUGGCGAGUGGCGGACGGGUGAGGAAUACAUCGGAAUCUACUUUUUCGUGGGGGAUAACGUAGGGAAACUUACGCUAAUACCGCAUACGACCUACGGGUGAAAGCAGGGGAUCUUCGGACCUUGCGCGAUUGAAUGAGCCGAUGUCGGAUUAGCUAGUUGGCGGGGUAAAGGCCCACCAAGGCGACGAUCCGUAGCUGGUCUGAGAGGAUGAUCAGCCACACUGGAACUGAGACACGGUCCAGACUCCUACGGGAGGCAGCAGUGGGGAAUAUUGGACAAUGGGCGCAAGCCUGAUCCAGCCAUACCGCGUGGGUGAAGAAGGCCUUCGGGUUGUAAAGCCCCUUUGUUGGGAAAGAGAAGCAGCAGGUUAAUACCCCGCUGUUCUGACGGUACCCAAAGAAUAAGCACCGGCUAACUUCGUG
rnacentral:rRNA from 1 species